rnacentral:rRNA from 1 species
CCUACGGGAGGCUGCAGUGGGGAAUAUUGGACAAUGGGGGGAACCCUGAUCCAGCCAUGCCGCGUGUGUGAAGAAGGCCCUCGGGUUGUAAAGCACUUUCAGUGAGGAAGAACGCCUGGUGGUUAAUACCCAUCAGGAAAGACAUCACUCACAGAGGAAGCACCGGCUAACUCCGUGCCAGCAGCCGCGGUAAUACGGAGGGUGCGAGCGUUAAUCGGAAUUACUGGGCGUAAAGCGCGCGUAGGUGGCUUGAUAAGCCGGUUGUGAAAGCCCCGGGCUCAACCUGGGAACGGCAUCCGGAACUGUCAAGCUAGAGUGCAGGAGAGGAAGGUAGAAUUCCCGGUGUAGCGGUGAAAUGCGUAGAGAUCGGGAGGAAUACCAGUGGCGAAGGCGGCCUUCUGGACUGACACUGACACUGAGGUGCGAAAGCGUGGGUAGCAAACAGGAUUAGAUACCCGUGUAGUC